GAUGAACGCUGGCGGCGUGCCUAAUACAUGCAAGUCGAGCGAACGGACGAGAAGCUUGCUUCUCUGAUGUUAGCGGCGGACGGGUGAGUAACACGUGGAUAACCUACCUAUAAGACUGGGAUAACUUCGGGAAACCGGAGCUAAUACCGGAUAAUAUUUUGAACCGCAUGGUUCAAAAGUGAAAGACGGUCUUGCUGUCACUUAUAGAUGGAUCCGCGCUGCAUUAGCUAGUUGGUAAGGUAACGGCUUACCAAGGCAACGAUGCAUAGCCGACCUGAGAGGGUGAUCGGCCACACUGGAACUGAGACACGGUCCAGACUCCUACGGGAGGCAGCAGUAGGGAAUCUUCCGCAAUGGGCGAAAGCCUGACGGAGCAACGCCGCGUGAGUGAUGAAGGUCUUCGGAUCGUAAAACUCUGUUAUUAGGGAAGAACAUAUGUGUAAGUAACUGUGCACAUCUUGACGGUACCUAAUCAGAAAGCCACGGCUAACUACGUGCCAGCAGCCGCGGUAAUACGUANGUGGCAAGCGUUAUCCGGAAUUUAUGGGCGUAAAGCGCGCGUAGGCGGUUUUUUAAGUCUGAUGUGAAAGCCCACGGCUCAACCGUGGAGGGUCAUUGGAAACUGGAAAACUUGAGUGCAGAAGAGGAAAGUGGAAUUCCAUGUGUAGCGGUGAAAUGCGCAGAGAUAUGGAGGAACACCAGUGGCGAAGGCGACUUUCUGGUCUGUAACUGACGCUGAUGUGCGAAAGCGUGGGGAUCAAACAGGAUUAGAUACCCUGGUAGUCCACGCCGUAAACGAUGAGUGCUAAGUGUUAGGGGGUUUCCGCCCCUUAGUGCUGCAGCUAACGCAUUAAGCACUCCGCCUGGGGAGUACGACCGCAAGGUUGAAACUCAAAGGAAUUGACGGGGACCCGCACAAGCGGUGGAGCAUGUGGUUUAAUUCGAAGCAACGCGAAGAACCUUACCAAAUCUUGACAUCCUUUGACAACUCUAGAGAUAGAGCCUUCCCCUUCGGGGGACAAAGUGACAGGUGGUGCAUGGUUGUCGUCAGCUCGUGUCGUGAGAUGUUGGGUUAAGUCCCGCAACGAGCGCAACCCUUAAGCUUAGUUGCCAUCAUUAAGUUGGGCACUCUAAGUUGACCGCCGGUGACAAACCGGAGGAAGGUGGGGAUGACGUCAAAUCAUCAUGCCCCUUAUGAUUUGGGCUACACACGUGCUACAAUGGACAAUACAAAGGGCAGCGAAACCGCGAGGUCAAGCAAAUCCCAUAAAGUUGUUCUCAGUUCGGAUUGUAGUCUGCAACUCGACUACAUGAAGCUGGAAUCGCUAGUAAUCGUAGAUCAGCAUGCUACGGUGAAUACGUUCCCGGGUCU
rnacentral:rRNA from 1 species